UACGUAGGGUGCAAGCGUUAAUCGGAAUUACUGGGCGUAAAGCGUGCGCAGGCGGUUUUGUAAGUUUGUCGUGAAAUCCCCGGGCUCAACCUGGGAAUUGCGAUGAAGACUGCAAGGCUAGAAUCUGGCAGAGGGGGGUAGAAUUCCACGUGUAGCAGUGAAAUGCGUAGAGAUGUGGAGGAACACCGAUGGCGAAGGCAGCCCCCUGGGUCAAGAUUGACGCUCAUGCACGAAAGCGUGGGGAGCAAACGAGGAUUACGAAACCC
rnacentral:rRNA from 1 species